rnacentral:rRNA from 1 species
AACGAACGCUGGCGGCAUGCCUAACACAUGCAAGUCGAACGAGACCUUCGGGUCUAGUGGCGCACGGGUGCGUAACGCGUGGGAACCUGCCCUUAGGUUCGGAAUAACUCCCCGAAAGGGGUGCUAAUACCGGAUAAUGUCUUCGGACCAAAGAUUUAUCGCCUUUGGAUGGGCCCGCGUUGGAUUAGCUAGUUGGUAGGGUAAAAGCCUACCAAGGCGACGAUCCAUAGCUGGUCUGAGAGGAUGAUCAGCCACACUGGGACUGAGACACGGCCCAGACUUCUACGGGAGGCAGCAGUUGGGAAUAUUGGACAAUGGGCGAAAGGCUGAUCCAGCAAUGCCGCGUGAGUGAUGAAGGCCUUAGGGUUGUAAAGCUCUUUUACCCGGGAUGAUAAUGACAGUACCGGGAGAAUAAGCUCCGGCUAACUCCGUG